GUCCAAUUUGCUCUCGGGGGCGUGUCCAGCUCAGGCCGGAGCUCCAGCCCCUCCCGGACCCAAGAGGGCAUUUAUUGCGCACGCGCGGGGAGGAGCCGCGGGGCACGCCGGGAGCAGGUGUGUCUACACAUGGCUGCCGAGGAAGCAACCAUCACAGUUCGCCUCAUCCGUUCAUUUGAGCAUCGAAAUUUCAAGCCUGUGGUAUAUCAUGGAGUUAAUUUGGACCAAACUGUGAAGGACUUUAUAAUAUUUCUAAAGCAAGAUGUCCCUUUGAGGACCAGCCUGCCACCACCACUCAGAAAUUACAAAUAUGAUACACUAAAGAUUCUUCAUCAAGCUCACAAAGCAAAGACAAAUGAGCUUGUGUUGGGUUUGGAGGACGACGACACACUCCUGCUGAAGGAGGACAGAACGCUCAAGGACUCAGGAGUAGCCAGUGAAACUGAAAUUGCUUUCUUCUGCGGAGAAGAUUAUAAGAGAUACAAAGCUAAUCCCACCUCCUCCUGGUGAAAGUGCCCGGGGUACACCUUUGCAUUCCUUUCUCCCACAAGUAGCAAAAGCAAAGGUUCCUGGUGUUUCUAUGUAAACAGUGAGAAUGACAGUACCACUUAACAAGACAUUACCUUCAGGUGGGGAAGAUGCCCUGAGGACUCCACAGUGGAGAAUGCAUGUGUGUGGACACCAGGGAGCUAUAACGUGAGAACCACUGCACAUCUAGCUUCUUCUUAUAUGACUCCUUAAGUCACCUCCUGCCUGAAAGAUCAACUACAAGAAGGGGAGUCAAAAGCAGUGCAAGGGCUGGCAAGAGGGCUCAGCAGGUGGAGAAGCUUGCUGCCAAGUCUGGUGACCUGAGUUCGAUGCCCGGGGCCCCACACGGUGGUGGCAGGAGAGAACAACUACUACAAGACAUCCUUUGAGAUGUGCACUGUGGCGUCUGUGCACCCAUGCACAUAUACACGUUUGCACAUGCACACAUCAACAAAUAAAUGUGGCUGGUAACCGUUGAGUAGCUGCUAGCCAAGGGGUGCUGCAGAGCCUGUCAAUUGCAAGCAGUGUUCUGAUUUCAGGGAAAUUAAAAUAUGCAAGCUGUGUGUCUCUGAAUCAAUAAAACGUGUAUCAGGUUUCCA